rnacentral:rRNA from 1 species
GACGAACCGUGCGAACGUUGUUCGGAAUCACUGGGCUUAAAGGGCGCGUAGGCGGCUCCGCCAGUCGGGGGUGAAAUCCCACGGCCUAACCGUGGAAGUGCCUCCGAUACUGCGGGGCUGGAGGGAGGUAGGGGCAGCGGGAACUUCGGGUGGAGCGGUGAAAUGCGUUGAUAUCCGAAGGAACGCCGGUGGCGAAAGCGCGCUGCUGGACCUCUGCUGACGCUGAGGCGCGAAAGCCAGGGGAGCAAACGGG